rnacentral:rRNA from 1 species
ACGGCUCAGUAACACGUAGUCAACAUGCCCAGGGGACGUGGAUAACCUCGGGAAACUGAGGAUAAACCACGAUAAGUCACUACUUCUGGAAUGGGUAAUGACUCAAAUCUAUAUGGCCCCUGGAUUGGACUGCGGCCGAUCAGGCUGUUGGUGAGGUAAUGGCCCACCAAACCUGUAACCGGUACGGGCUCUGAGAGGAGGAGCCCGGAGAUGGAUUCUGAGACACGAAUCCAGGCCCUACGGGGUGCAGCAGGCGCGAAAACUUUACAAUGCUGGCAACAGCGAUAAGGGGACCUCGAGUGCCAGGAUACAAUCUUGGCUGUCGUAAUGCCUAAAAAGCAUUGCAUAGCAAGGGCCGGGCAAGACCGGUGCCAGCCGCCGCGGUAACACCGGCGGCUCGAGUGGUAACCGCUAUUAUUGGGUCUAAAGGGUCUGUAGCCGGCCGGAUAAGUCUUUUGGGAAAUCCAGCUGCUCAACAGUUGGGCUUUCAGAAGAUACUGUUCGGCUCGAGACCGGGAGAGGUGAGAGGUACUUCAGGGGUAGGGGUGAAAUCUUGUAAUCCUUGAAGGACCACCAGUGGCGAAGGCGUCUCACCAGAACGGAUCUGACGGCAAGGGACGAAAGCUAGGGGCACGAACCGGAUUAGAUACCCGGGUAGUCCUAGCCGUAAACGAUACUCGCUAGGUGUCGGCCACGGUGCGACCGUGGUCGGUGCCGUAGGGAAGCCGUGAAGCGAGCCACCUGGGAAGUACGGCCGCAAGGCUGAAACUUAAAGGAAUUGGCGGGGGAG